rnacentral:rRNA from 1 species
UACAGAGGGUGCGAGCGUUGUCCGGAAUCACUGGGCGUAAAGGGCGCGUAGGCGGCUCGAUAAGGUUGCGGUGAAAGCCCGGGGCUCAACCCCGGGUCGGCCGUGGCAACUGUCGAGCUGGAGCACUGUAGAGGCAGGUGGAAUUCCGGGUGUAGCGGUGGAAUGCGUAGAGAUCUCCAAGAACACCUAUUGCGAAGGCAGCCAGCUGGGACCAUAUUGACGCUGAGGCUCGAAAGCAUGGGGAGCAAACAGG